rnacentral:tRNA from 1 species
UCAUUGGUGGUUCAGUGGUAGAAUUCUUACUUUCCAUGCAAAAGACCUGGGUUCGAUUCCCAGCCUGUGCG